rnacentral:rRNA from 1 species
GGAUCCAGACUUUGAUCAUGGCUCAGGACGAACGCUGGCGGCGCGCCUAACACAUGCAAGUCGAACGGAGUUAUUUUCUUCACUCCGAGCUUUUUGCCAGUUAGUCGGAGCGGCAAUCGGUCUUGCCCAGCAUAAAAAGCAAAACCGAUUUAGGCUCAUAAAGUAAGACUAACACAGAGGGCAGAGAGUUGGGAGUGAAGAAAAUAACUUAGUGGCGAACGGGUGAGAACGCGUGAGUAACCUGCCCUGGAGUGGGGGACAACAGUUGGAAACGACUGCUAAUACCGCAUAAGCCCACGGCCCGGCAUCGGGCUGAGGGAAAAGGAUUUAUUCGCUUCAGGAUGGGCUCGCGUCCAAUUAGCUAGUUGGUGAGGUAACGGCCCACCAAGGCGACGAUUGGUAGCCGGACUGAGAGGUUGAACGGCCACAUUGGGACUGAGACACGGCCCAGACUCCUACGGGAGGCAGCAGUGGGGGAUAUUGCACAAUGGGGGAAACCCUGAUGCAGCGACGCCGCGUGGAGGAAGAAGGUUUUCGGAUUGUAAACUCCUGUCGUUAGGGACGAUAAUGACGGUACCUAACAAGAAAGCACCGGCUAACUACGUGCCAGCAGCCGCGGUAAAACGUAGGGUGCAAGCGUUGUCCGGAAUUACUGGGUGUAAAGGGAGCGCAGGCGGACCGGCAAGUUGGAAGUGAAAACUAUGGGCUCAACCCAUAAAUUGCUUUCAAAACUGCUGGCCUUGAGUAGUGCAGAGGUAGGUGGAAUUCCCGGUGUAGCGGUGGAAUGCGUAGAUAUCGGGAGGAACACCAGUGGCGAAGGCGACCUACUGGGCACCAACUGACGCUGAGGCUCGAAAGCAUGGGUAGCAAACAGGAUUAGAUACCCUGGUAGUCCAUGCCGUAAACGAUGAUUACUAGGUGUUGGAGGAUUGACCCCUUCAGUGCCGCAGUUAACACAAUAAGUAAUCCACCUGGGGAGUACGACCGCAAGGUUGCAACUCAAAGGAAUUGACGG